GAUGUUAAGGCAAUUUCGAUUAGAUUUGGUCAGGGGGAGGUAACUCCGCAAAGACCUCAUUAAAUAUUCAUAUAUUCAUUAAUGGCGAUGAGCCCGAAAGCUGCGUCUAUCGAUAAAAAUGUAUGAUAACAAAUUACAUACAUGCAUGUGAAUAAAAACGGGUAUCAAUAUGGUGUAAUUUAUUUACUGAAACGCGAAUAUUGUAUGUGUGUGCCUUAAUUAUAUUGUAAACGGUUGCAAUAGCUGUUUUUCUCGCGGAGAUUGUCCGCUUGCGGAACCCCGCCUCCCUUUGAGGAUCAACCAAUCAGAAGACGAUCGCCGUCGGAAAGAUGCUUGUGGUUUGCAGAAUGGAAAGCACCUUGCUGCGGAAAAUAUUUUCACUUCUACGUGAAAAUCUAACAAGAAAAUUGACCUGUCAAAUGCAAGAAACAGAGUGCCAGUCCCACUAUGAUGAAGUAUUAAAAGCUUUAAAAUGGUUGGAAUUAGGAAAGCUUUAUUAUUUGAACAGGAAACAGAUAUGAAUGAAUGAAGAUUUGGAUCCCUCUUCAAUUCAUCUGAAAACCUGAUGAUUGAGCGUUCUUGCAAAAAAUGUACCUAAGGAGUCAGAUGGGCUAGUGCAUUCAUUUCCAUAAUCUGGACUCAGUGACUGUUCAAGGCUUUACUCAAUACCCGAGUGUACAUUUCCAGUUACUAUUUACAAUGAUUUAUGUGUAACCUAAAUUUCAUAUUGUUACACCUUUUCGUCACUAGUCAGAUAGAAUUAGACACAUCUCUGGAGAAGAAAAAAUCUUUGUAACGUUCAAGACAGAAUUAAUGAAAAGGAUCAAGAACUAAUACAACUAUAUGCUUGUAGUACAGAUGUAAAUUUUUUGGAAAUGUUUCAAACUGAAGCAACACUUUAAAGCUUUCCGAUAAUAUAUUAAACCAGGAGACGUAUUAGCUACAAUUUAAUUUUAAGAUGACACUGGACAUUCUUAGUUGUUUAUUACUCAAUGAAUAGUUAGUUUAUAGCAUAAGUUAUUUCGACCCUAUUCAUCUGUUAUAAUGAUAGU